rnacentral:miRNA from 1 species
CAGAUAUAUGCAUAUACAUGUAUGUAUUUGUGUGUGUAUGUGUGUAUGUAUAUAUAUACAUA